rnacentral:lncRNA from 1 species
AUCAUAAAAAACGUUAGAUUUGCGCGUUCGGAUCUUCGAGUUGGAUUCGGACCGGUUCUUUUCGUGUUCGGGUCCGUCGGCUCCUAAACAUUUCCACCCAAUAGAUAUUUAGAAAUUUUUGGUUCAGUUCGGCCGGAUCUUUUCGGAUCCGAACCUAUUUGGGUCUAUAAUUUUUUUUCGGGUCUAUAUUGAGUCUGGAUUGGCUUCGGGUAUUUAUGACCUGAAAAAGACAUAACAUAUCUAACUCCAUCAGAUUUGGUCUAUAGUUGUCAUAUAUAACAACUUAAAUAAAACUAUUAAUAAUUAAAAUAAAAAAAUUAAACUCUAAUUAAAACUUCAUAUUGCUUAAAAAAAGUUACAAAAUAAUAACAAAUAUUGUUAACAAAAAAUAUUUCAACUAAAUCAUAAAAUAAUAUAUAUAAAAUAGAGCACAAAAAAUCAUAGUUUUGGAUAUACAUAUUCUUAAGUCGGGUACAAAUCAGUUUUUAUCGGGUUGGGUCUAUUUAGAUCGGUUCUUUUUUGAGUCCGGGUAUAUUCGGAUCGGUUCUUUUCGGUUCUGGUUCUUUCGGGUAAAAACAAAUUAGACACAAAAGGUACUUAUAAUUUUUUGGUUCGGUUUCGGAUCGGAUAUUUUUGGAUCGGUUCCGGUUCGGGUUUUCUGAUCCACGUUAAAAUGUCCAGGCCUAGAAAACGCUACAAAUCGUUUCAAACUACUCUACACCUCUUAAAAUCAAAAGCUGGUUCCAUCUAGCGUUUGUGGUUGUAGAUAGUUGCGGGAAGGUAAUUUUUUUUUAUAAAAAUAAAAAUAAAAAAUAUUCAAGAAAAAUUUUAAAUUGAAAUAAUAUAUAAAUUAAAAUUUAUAUAUAUUAUAUUUUAAUUUAUAUUACAAAAAAUUUAAACAAAAUAUUUUCUAUAAUUUAAAAAACAAUUAAUAGUAUAAUUUUAUAAAUACAAUUUUUAUAUUUAUUAUAAUUUUUAAUUCUUUUUAAUUAUAUAAAAUAUAUAUAUUGUUAAUUUAUUAUUUAACAACUGCUGUAUUUGGUAGUUAACCAGUCAUAAGUAUCUUACAAACCAAUCAAUUUUUAACCACUGUACAAAUCGUAAAAAUCUCUUAAAAAUGUUUUAAAUUGCAACCAGCUGCAUUCGCAAACGUUCGCAACUGCUGCGAUUACACUAGUUUGCCCCUAAGUAUCAAUUUAUUUAUUUUUGCCGAGAGUAAUUUACUCUUGACGCUCGGAGCAGAUUAUUUGCAUCUUUUUGUUUUCUUUAAAAGGGAGUAUUUGCUGGUUUCUUAUAGAAAAUUGAGAAAAGAACAAAACUUAGGUUCACCCUUUAAAUUUACUUCACUUUUAAUAAUCAACUAGAUUUUGACCCGCGCUUUAAAAAGCGCGGAACUAAUUCUCUUUUAAAAUUCUACAAAUUUUUUAAUUAUAAGAUUUUUAAAAAAAUUAUAAGAUUAUGUGUUUUUAUAUAUGAUAACCAUAUACAUUUAAAAUUUACUGGUUGUUUAUGUUAUAAUCAUAGAUAUUAGAUAUGAUAUAUAAAAAAUUUAUAUUUAUAUUUAUGAAAUUAUUUUUAAAGAAGUUAAAUGUUUAGAAAAUAUUGUAUUAAUUUUACUUUAUUCUAAAGUAUUAUAUUUAUAUACUAAAGAUAUUUUCUCAUUACAUCUUUUAAUAUUAUUUUUGCACAUCUUAUUUUUAUUGAUAAUAUUUUAUUUCAUCAUUUAGAUGCAUAUAUUUGUUCCAAUUAUAUAAAAUCACUACUAUAUAAGUUGAAAAAAUGAAUGAUAUUUCACAUUGCAUAUUUUAGUAUUAUUCUUUUCAGAUUUUAACUUUUAAUGAUUAUUUAUUUAUUUACUUAGAUGCAUAUAUUUGUUCCAACCAUAUAAAACUCAACUAUAAAAAUUGUAAAAUGACAAGUUUAUGAUUUUUUUUAUUUCUCAUAGUAGGAAAAUACACUACAAAAAACACUUCAAUUAAUUUUUAUCUAAUAAAUAAAUUAUAUUAGUUUAAUUUAUUUAUUAUCCACAAAAUUAAGUAUAUUUUAUAUGAUUAAAAAUAUCUAAUUAAAAAAAAAUCUAGUCGAAAAUAAUUUGCUAUGGAUAUGAUAAAGCUUUACCUAUAGUAAAUGCUAAUAGUUAAUUAGCAUUUAUGGUUUUGUUUUGGUUUGUAAAGAAAAUUUAUUUGUUACCAUAAAUAUGAGAUAUUUCUAUUAUUUUGUAAAUAUGAUUAUAAUCCAAGGGUAGAAUCCUAAAUUUUUAAAAUAGGAUCAUGUUUUAAUAGUAUAGAUGUUGCAACAUAACAAUCAUGACGUUGGGUGAUAAAAUAUUUUUUAAUGGUUAUUCUUGUAUAAAAUAUCAUUGAAUAUGAUCUUAUUAAUAAAUAUACUGUACUGUUAUUUAUGGCUUUGGGACUGAAAUAGUGAUAUAUUAGAAUACAAUGGUUGAGUAAAAUAUUAAAAUAAAUAUUUUACUUUCAUUUAAACGUGAAUUACAGAAGAUAAUUAUUAACUGAUCUUUCCUAAAAUGCAGGGAAAUAGGCCUAAACAAUCAGUUACAUUUAUAAAUAUUCCCAUAUAUUAUUUAGGAUAUGCUAUGUGUAGAGAUUAAAUAAUGUGUCUAACUAAAUUUUAAUAAAUAGGUCCAAACAACUUUUAUAAGUAGAUUUAUCAAGACUACUUCCUUUUUAAUAGAAUAGAUCAUAUUGCCACAUAGAUAAAUGAAUAAAAAUGGAGGAUCAUCACUUUGCCUGGAUAUUAUGGUACAUUUGGAAGGGCCGGAACAACAAAGUGUUCAGUAACAUGGAUGUUGAUCCGAGGGAAACGCUCCGAUUAGCAGAAGUUGAAUCAACACUGUUGGCUGAGGCAUAGGUUAUUAAUGAUCAUAGAUUGACAUGGGAAGUACAGGUUAGGCCAGAUUUCGGAACCACAAGAAGAUGGUGUUUCACAUACGGUUCUUGGAAAGACAAGGAUUUUUUUUCAGGACAAGGAUGGUUCAGUACGUUACUAGGGCUUGAUGGUUUAUUAGGAGCAAGGAAUGUAAGGACAUGCCUCUCACCUCUUCAUUCGGAGAUAGAGGCUCUAGUUUGGGUAAUGGAAUGUAUGAGAAACUUAAGGCACUUCAGGUUACGUUUGCGAUAAAUUGUUCUCAGUUGGUGAAGAUGGUUUCGGAACCAGAGGAAUGACCAGCAUUUGAAAGCUACCUGGAAGAUAUUAAGCUUUUGCGACACAGUUUCUCAACUCAGAUAUUGUACAUGUUUAUAGGACGGAGAACAUAAGGGCGGAUAGAUUGGCACGUAGUGCUCGGAAACAACUGUCUUUCGUCGUGCAUAUAGACGCAGAGUUACCACUUUGGUUUAAAGAAUCUACAUGAGUCUGUAAAUGUUUGAUGUAAAAAAAAAAAGAUAAAUGAAUAAAAAAUAUUAGAUAUUUUUGUAAAAAUAAAAAUAACUAUAAAAAAAACUCGAUUUUAACAAAGCUAAUACCGUCUGCUAAACCCUAAAUCCAAACCGUAACCCUAAACUAAAAAUCCUAUACCCUAAACCCAAACCGAAUACCCUAAAACCUAAACCUAGACCCAAAACCCGAACCCUAUACCCUAAAUCCAAAAUCUAAACCCUAAAACCUAAACCCUAGACCUAAACACAAACUUUAUACCCUAAACCCAAACCAUAGACCCUAAACUCUAAAUCUUAAACCCUAAACUCUAAAUCCUAAACUUGAACUCUAGACCCUAAACUUAAAUUCUAUACCGUAAACCUGACUCCUAUAUCCUAAACUCAAACCCUAUACUCUAAUCUAAACUGUAAAUCCUAAACCCAAGUCCUAUACCCUAAAUGUUUGGAUUAAUGUUGAUAUUGUUCUUUUAGAGUUUAAGGUUAGGAUUUAAGGUUUGGAUUUAUAGUCUACGGUUUGGGUUCAUGAUUUAGGGUCUAGAGUUUGGGUUUAGGGUCUAGGGUUUGAGUACUGAGUCUAAAGUUUGGGUUUAUGAUUUAAGAUUUCGGAUUUAGAGUUUAGAGUUUAGAAUCUAGAGUUUGGGUUUAGGGUAUAUAGUUUGGAUUUAGGGUAUAUAGUUUGGGUUUAGGGUCUAGGGUUUAGGUUUUAGAGUUUAAGGUUUAAAUUUAGGGUAUAGGGUUCAGGUUUAGGGUCAUGGUUUGGUUUUAGGAUAUAGAGUUUGGGUUUAGGGUAUAAAGUUUUGGUUAAGGGUUACGGUUUGGAUUUAAGGGUUUGUUGGCGGCGUUAGCAUCGUUAAAAUUGACGUUAUUUUUUUCAGUUAUUUUAAUUUUUUAAAAAUUAUUUAAUAUUUUUUAUUUAUUAAUUUAUAUGAUAUUAUAAUUGGUUAAUAGAGGUGAGGUGAAUUUAAAGAUUCACUUAAGUUUUGUUCGAAAAGAAAAAGGGUAAACGGGUAGAUGAGCUAUAGCAUUUAUUAAAUUUGUUGGUCUUAUUCUUCUUUCUGUUAGCCUUUGGGACCAUACCGUCAACAUGUUGAAAUCAUGUCGACACGUAUAAACAUUAAACACAUAUAGUUAUACGUUACAAGUUCAAGUUACGUGUUGCAUAUAGACAUAUUUACGUAGAGAACUAUAAUUCAACAAAAACGUAGAGUAUCGAUAACUUCAUGUAAUACGUAACAAUACCUAUCCUAAGCGAUUGUAUAUCAUUAAACAUACGUAGCAACUAUAAUCAAGCAAGGUUUUUUUUUUUGAAAAGGGAAUAAUCAAGCAAGUUUCAAAGAAAAAACUAUAAACAAGCAUGGCCAGGCAUACUUCGAUUAGGUUUUUUUAAUUCCUCUGUUUUUCUACCCCAAAUAAAAGCCACUGUUUUUCUAUUACCUUUGCACAUCACAAAACCGUUUAAUAUUUGUGUUUUUUAUAAAAAGCUCAGCUACUAAGAAAACAGUUCAACAGCUGGGUUAGAAAAAACAGUAGUGAUUUCCUAUCCAAAUACAUGAGCAAACAAAAAUAAAAAAAAACUUGCAGUUUUAGAGAAAACGAACAAAAAUAACAACGUUGUUAUAAUAUACCAGACACUUGCCCGGGUUUCGAUUGUCAAUAAUAGCACAUUUUGAAGUUUAUGUCUCAAAAAUGACACUAAAAAGAGAAAAUCACAAAAAUGACAUUCAUUAAAAGGUAAAAUAUCCCUAAUACCUUUGGAUUAAAAUUAAAUAAACAAACAAAAAUAAAUAAAAAUAAAUAAAAUAAAAAUUAAAAAAAUAAAUUUUUUUUUUAUAGUUUCAGAUUAUAUGUUUUCAGAUUCAAAAUUUUUAUAAAUUUUUUUUGAAAUUUUUUUUUCGAAAUUUUUUUUAUUUUUUUUCAAAUUUUCUUUUUAUAAUUUAAAAAUAAUUUUUGUUUUUAAAAUUUUUAUCUUUUAUUUUAGUAUUUAUUUUUUAUAAAAUUUUAAACCCUAAUUCCAAAACCCCACCCCUUAACUCUAAACCCUAAGGUUUGGAUUAAUUAAGGACAAAUCUCCAAAAUAGCACCUUUCUAAGUUUAUAUCACAAAAAUAGCACUCAAAAACUAAAAUGACCAAAAUAGCCUUUUAUCUUUUGAAAAAUUUAAAUUUUUUAUUUUUUAAAAUUUGAAAUCUUAUCCCCAAAACCUUACUUCUCAACUCUAAACCCUAAAACCUAAACUCUAAACCCUAAACCCUAAAUUCUAAAUCCUAAACCCCACCCCUUGAGUGCUAUUUUUGUGACUUUUGACCUUGAAUGCUAGUUUGGGAACAAAAACUUGAUUUAGUGCUAUUUUGGUCUUUUUCUCAUUAAUUAACCCAAGGAGUAUAAGUGUAUAUUUACCUCUUUAAUAAAACCUAUUUUUGUGACUUUGAGCCUUGAAUGCUACUUUUGAAACAAAAACUUGGUUUACUGCUAUCCUAGUCUUUUUCUCUUCCGUAUAUUAGUUAUAGGUUUGAUUGCGACCGAACCGAGACUGAGUCGACCAUUUAGCCCAAUCUCUAAAAGUGUUGGGACCAUCAACAUCUUUUGAUUCACUCACCUAAAUUCCACUGUUCCACAUAACUCAAAGUCUCAAAACUAGUUUUAUUAGAGAAAUAAGGAAAUGGUUGGCCAAGAGAUAGAGAAGAUAAAUAUUUUUAAUAGAUUAGGGCUUGGUUGUUCCAAACACAAUUUAAUUUCUUAGAGCAACUUUAUUGGCAAGUUUUUCCAAAUAGGGGUUCUUAACUAAUAAAUAUGGUUAUUUAAUAUUAGUCUAAUUACCUAGUUAAAAUUUAUUAAUUUUGAUAAAUUGAACCAAUUUAAAAUAGGCAUGUGGUGUCAUAGGUUCUCAAGAAUAAUUAAUAAUAUAUAUUUUGAAAUAUUUUUCUUUGUCUCUCUAUUAAUCUUCUUAAAUUUUAUUUAAUUUUAUUGUUAAGAUAUCCAUUGAGUGUCAAUGGAUGGAGAUUGUGUUUGGUGUGUUAUAAUCUAUGUCUCGUAGUUCUAUAUAACACAAUAUUUUGAAUAUAUAAAUGAAUGUUUCUUUUAUAAAAAAAACUCUAUUUUCCAUUUGCAUUUGGCUUUACGUUAAUAAACUACAAAUAACUAUUGAUUAAUGCACAGUUUAGUUUUGAAUUAUGAUAACAUGCAAAAACGUAAACAUAUAUGAAAAAAUAUUGGGUAGAGUAAUACCGGUUUAAUGACAAUUGAAAGGCUUUAAUUAAACACAUACAGAAAAGGAUGUAGGCCCAUGCUAACGUAAAUAAUAGAAGAUGAUGGUACUACAACUGUUUUGCUAAAGUCCACUCAGCUAACGAGUUCUAUAUGCGAAACACAUUAAAGAAGAAAUGUAGGUCUGUGACAGAAGAAAACAAAGCAAAUAAGUUGUAUCUGCCCAAAACGAUAGAAUAAAAUGAAUUCGAUUUUUAUCAAGAGUUUUAUUGAGAUUCAGACAUGAGCCAAAUCUAUAGAACAAUCGUUUAAUAAAAUACUUCACAAAAAGAAAAGAGUCCUAAAGAAAACCAACAAGAUAAAGGUCUUUAAAUCCCAUCACUUGACGACAAAAAAAAAUCCCAUCACUUAGUGGAAGGCAAAGAAGCUGAGAUGGAUGGUUGAAGAGUAUUCUUGUGUGCUAGUGUAGCAUUUAUACCUAGAGGUCUAGUUUUGUUUAUUUCUUUUUUGCGUAAUUUCAAACCGUUUAUUAUAUAGGUCUAAUGGGCUUGAUGGUCCAUAUUCGAUCGCUUUAUGCCGAUGUAACUUGACUUUGGAAAAGAAAAAAAACAGAAAACUAAUCUUCAAAGAUUUGAAAUCGGAUGAUCGGAAUUUGCUGUGUUAAAGGGAACCUACCGAAAAGCAUGACACUGUGCUUUUUUUCUAAAAGAUGACAAAAGAAACUUAUCGGUAAAAAGAAGAAAAGACUCAACACUCAAGUCUUGUUUUUUUACCCAUAAUGGAUGGACACUCGUAACAUAUGAGUCCAUACAAAUCAACAGAGAAAUAUCAAGGAUGAAUAUAACAUGGAGAUCAAAGGAGCAAAACGAGAAAGCUUUUGCAAAUUUAUUAUUUAUUUAUUUGGGUCAAAGCUUAACCUUAAUUUAGAGAUGGAAACUGAGAUGUUAACCCACAAGUUUAAGAAUGAAUCUCCCUCUGGAAAAAGGUUUCAGAUAUUUACAUUACUCAUUUAGAAAGGUUUUUUACCCAUGAAAAAAAUUAGAUAUACCUUUUUUAAAAAACAAAUCACAUAGUACGUAACCUUUUUACUAUUAGAUUACUAUUAGACUACGUACAAAAGCCCAAAUAUGUCUUAUGAAAAGUCCAUAAUCUCAAGUGUUCUAGGGUUCUGAGCAAGUAUUGAACUAUAUGUGUAUAUAUAUAUAUAUUUAAAUUAAAUUUUAUAAAUCAGUCUGAAAAUCAGGAAUUAUGAUCCGACGACAAACCACUCGAACAAAAAAAACCCAAUUCUAACGGUUCCUAAACUAGCUUUGCUCAACAUGUCAACCCGACGCAUUCUGCUAGUUCGUAAGAAAUUCACGAUCGUUCUCAACCUUUAACGUGAACUUCGGGGAAGCAAGAUUUACCUCGUUUACUCGGAUGUCGGGACUCCCCAAGAUAUUUCCGGAGUAGCUUUAUGUCGAACUUAUCGAGCUUGUAAUCUUUACUGUCAAUUAAGUGCUUGGAAAUAGAAAGUGGAGAGAUCGGAGACAAAUCACCUUAGCGAGACUUUGAGAACGCUGCUAUACAACCACAACCAACGCCAAUAAAGAGCAAGAAGUGGUAAUGACUCAGCGCAGAGCCUCACACCCUCUAUAGCGGAUGACGAAACUGAAGCUGACUCUCAACCACAGACAUAAAUAAGGCGGCAGCAGAGCAAGGACGGAGUACGAGCAAAGGACAAGCAAGACAAGGGAGGAGAGAAACUGGCGUCAGCUGGACACCAGAGCGAUAUCAAAUUUGGUUUCGUUUUUUGAAAGGAUAAGUCGGAGGAGAGAGAGAGAUACUAUAUAUAUAUAUAUAUUGUUGUUAUGAGAGUAUUGUAAUAUAACCUAGAAUUCUUAGCAACUCUCCUUUCUUCUCAUACUAAUGAUAUUAUCGAAUCUACUUUGUUUUUGAAGGCAAAUCUCAAGCUGCUUUCUUUCUGUUUAAUG